AUUGAACGCUGGCGGCAGGCCUAACACAUGCAAGUCGAGCGGAUGAACGGAGCUUGCUUCUGGAUUCAGCGGCGGACGGGUGAGUAAUGCCUAGGAAUCUGCCUGGUUGUGGGUUAUAACGUCCGGAAACGGGCGCUAAUACCGCAUAAGUCCUGAGGGAGAAAGUGGGGGAGCUUCGGACCUCACGCUAUCAGAUGAGCCUAGGUCGGAUUAGCUAGUUGGUGGGGUAAAGGCCUACCAAGGCGACGAUCCGUAACUGGUCUGAGAGGAUGAUCAGUCACACUGGAACUGAGACACGGUCCAGACUCCUACGGGAGGCAGCAGUGGGGAAUAUUGGACAAUGGGCGAAAGCCUGAUCCAGCCAUGCCGCGUGUGUGAAGAAGGUCUUCGGAUUGUAAAGCACUUUAAGUUGGGAGGAAGGGCAGUAAGUUAAUACCUUGCUGUUUUGACGGUACCAACAGAAUAAGCACCGGCUAACUUCGUG
rnacentral:rRNA from 1 species